rnacentral:lncRNA from 1 species
UCUCCCUUUUAUUGGUUUUUUUCGACAUGGUCCCCCCUCGUUGUUUUUGAAGAUAUCAUAACCUUAUUUGGACAAAAGUUAGAUCUCAUCAUGAUGUGUUACCAUAUGAGGCUGCUACGGAUUUCAUCAUUCCCUAUGAGAGUUAUCCCCUUGAAGCAAUUUCUUUCUUUUACAUUUUUCUCAAAAAGUAUUCAAGAUAGAAUCGAUUUGAAAACGGCAACAUGUACAAGACCAGAUGGCAAUGUUAAUUAACGUAUACAAUCAUUUUGUUGUUAACCCUUAUAAGGAGUUAUUUCCCUUGAAAAAAUAUACAUAAUUUUUUAAAAAUUGUAUCUCGAGAACCGGAAGUCGUAAAGACUUAUGACCUACACCAAUAAUCUUAAGUUCAUGUGACCUUUAAUUUGCACCCAAGGUCAAAGGUCACCAAGUGCAAAAAAAAAUUACGCUUGCAAUUUCAAGCUUUCAUAUUAAGAAAACGAUAAGAGUUUGCUGCAUACUUACAGCGUAUAAAAUGUUCCUCUCGACGAGCUCUACAUUUUAUACACUGAGCUCAAAAGAGUCCGACUGUCUGUUCAAAAGUUACGACGGAUGAUUCUUAAAAGUAUAGUAUUGUGUGUAUAUCUUUUUAAAAGUAACAGAUAUCAACCUACUAUAAACUGCAAAGAUGAUCAGUAGUUCAAGACCUUCAAUUUGAGGUCAAAGUCAGGUCAUGAUGAAAUUUCACUUGACCUUCACAUUAUACUAUGACCUUGACCUUGUAAUAUUUGAAAGGUCAAGUGGUCCUGAGUUGAAUGGUGAUAGUCCCAUGUCUCUACAACUUCCGGUUCUCAAGUUUUGUAUUGCAUCAUAUAUUUGAGGAUUAAUUGUGACCUUGGUGAACUUUGAAAUUGUCCCAAUUCUUUUCUAUAAUGUUGUCCUUCAACUGUAGAUCAUUUAUCAUUUAACAGA